CAGGGGACGACCAAGAAACCCCCAUGAAACCCUAGCUCAUCUAAAUUGCUCAAAUUGAAGACCAAAUUUGGAUCCAAAUCGAAAAUCAAGCAUAGAAUAGUGAUCCUCACCACAAGGGGGUUACAAGGAAAAGAUACCGGAGCGUCGAGUGGACAAGCCGGUGGCGAUUCGCGUUGAAGGGCGUGCACUAAAGGUGACAAUGGGGAUCUUACGGAUGGCGAUCAAGCAAGUUUUUGAAGAACCGAACACACUUUUGAAGCUUCCGCGUUAUCUAACUUUAAUAGACAAUAUUUUUGGGAUGUAAACAAGUUGCUAACAACUUAUGAAUAGUUGAAUUAGUCGGUUGUUGACUAAUGUUCUGUUACUUUGGAUCUUAUGUUUUAAUUGGACGUCUUUAAAAAAAAAUCAUAUGAAUUAUUAUUAAAUUCAAAUAGUAA